rnacentral:rRNA from 1 species
GACGUAGGGUGCAAGCGUUGUCCGGAAUUAUUGGGCGUAAAGCGUUCGUAGGCGGUUACUUAAGUCUGGUGUUAAAGACGGGAGCUCAACUCCCGCAUGGCAUUGGAAACAGGGUGGCUAGAGUGCGGUAGAGGUCUCGGGAAUUCCAGGUGUAGCGGUGAAAUGCGUAGAUAUCUGGAGGAACACCGGUGGCGAAAGCGCGAGACUGGGCCGUAACUGACGCUGAGGAACGAAAGCCAGGGGAGCAAAAGGG